UUCCACAUUGUUUUCGCCACAAAAAUAUUCCAACUAAGAGCAAGUUCAACGGUGAUUUUAAAGGGAUUUUAAAGAGAUGCUUAACCUUAAAAAUAAAUCAAAAUACAUUAUAAAUGUUAAAAUCGAUCCUAAGAUAAGCAAUUUUAGGAUCAUUAAGGAUCUCAUAUGUGUUGGUCUCUGAUUGGUUGUUGGAAAUAACAAAACAAACAAAAAAACUUCGACCAAAGAUUUUCUUCUUCUUUCCUUCGUUUCUUUCGACCCAAUCCUCCUCCUCUGUGAUUUUCCUCUGAAGUCUCAAUCGUCGAAUUGAGAGAAGAGAUGUGUCGGAAAUUGGUUUUCUAAUCCGCCUAUAUCUGUUUUGAAGUGUAGAUCUUUACUAUCUUCUGAAUUGAGAGUAGAAAUUAGAAAUUUAGAGUUUACUGAUUUGGGAAUUGACUAGUAAAAUUAGGGUUCUUUCGAUUGGGUAUUUAUUUUAGCAAGAUUAGUGUCUAUGACUGUCGAUUGGGUCUUUGUUUUUUGCUGUAAAUUUGUUUGAUUAAAAUUGGGUCUUUGUCAAUUGGGUGUUUGAUUUUAGCAAGUUCAGGAUGUGAGUUUCAUCUCUUCCUCUACUUCUUCUUCGAUUACUUUGUUUUGAAAUUGAUUAAGACCCGGACAAAUAAGGGCUAAAGAAUUUGUGUAUGGGAAUAAAUAAGAAUAUGGUUUGGGCAUAUCUAUCUAAUGGUUUUUAUUUAUCUGACUCAUCAUCUCAUCGUUUCCGGGAGAAGAGAGAGGAGUAAAAUCCCCUCACUUCAAAUCAAAGUCUUGAAGCUUCUUCUUCGAAAGGGCUUCCAACUUUGCAUUUAAAGGUUACUUCAAGAGCCUUCUCGGAUGUUCCAAAGAGAAAGAUGGUUACUUGAAGUGGUUUGCUGGGAAUGUAGCCUAUGCGCUAUAUAGAGGAGUUACUGCCAACAUGCUUCUAGGAGUAGCAGGAGCAGGUGUGCUUGCAGGGUAUUGAUCAGCUUCACCGGAUUGCUUAUAAACAUUGGGUUUAGUACUUUUGAACCAAACCCCAAAAGAUAUUACAAUGAAAACUCAGCUCAAAGAAAGAAGAAAAGGUGAAUGUGUGUUUGAUAGUCCUGUUAACUAUUCUUUGUUUUUUUGUUUUUUGCUGUCUUGGAGAUAACCUCACCAAGUUAGUUUCAGACCCAUACACAAGUAAGUUUCUCUCAUACCCAUUAUGUUUUGCUGCCUUUCCAUUUCACUUUCUCAGAAUCUUGUUUAAUUCAUCUUCUUUCUCGAGUUAGGGGGAGGUAUUGGUUUGGGAUUUAAUGAGAAUUUUAAUGACUUUAAAUAAAAGUAUAAUCUUGCAAAAUGAAAGAUUCUAACAGAUUGUUUAGAAAGUUUUUUAUAAUCUUGCUGAUUUGUAUUUCCUAAUCUUGUAAAAUCUUUCAUAAAAUUUUGCAAACUUUCUAAAAAAAUAUUGGACAAUAUUCUCUUGAUUAUUCAACUCUUUUGUCAAAAAAUAGAUAAAAAAAAUAUAAAGAGAAAGAGACCAAGGAAGACAUGGUGGGAGGUUAAAAUCUCCAGAACCCUAACGCCAAAGUCAUACUCGUUGGUUUUGGCUUUUAUCAACAACAAAAAAAACAGAGUAUGAGAGAUAGAGUAAAGAACAUAAUAAUAAACGAUUCUCUCUUUAAUCAAACACGCAACUUUAUUGAUAUGAGAAACUGAAUUGUAUUACAGACUUUUGUAUUGCAGGAAAUAGAGACUCGAUCUGUAUUUUUACGAGUGAAACAUUGUGUUGUAUAAUAAGAAAAGACAUGACUCUUCAUAAGACACAACAUAUAAAUCAUGACUCUUAACGUUUCGGGGGACGUUGUGUCGCCUUUGUAGAUGCAUAAAAAAGCAGAGGCAACUGCUUUAUAUGUGAAGGAUGAAUAUGAAAAGGCCCAACACGAGUUUGCUUAUAAUCUGAAUGGAGGAAAACAUGUUCUCAUCUGCGAAGCAAGUGAUGUUGCUCGUGUUCUUCUAUGAUCAAAGCCGUUUUUUUUUGUUUUCCAAUAUGCCAAUCAAACUUGGAUUUUUUUGUAUCACUUUUGUUCUGGGGCAGCGGAGAGGAGUGUGGGAUGCGGAGAAGAAAAGCCAUCGAAGCUGAGGCCAUUGAGCAAAAGAACACCAAAAAGUCAUGGAUUAUGAUUCACAAAUCUCUCUAUUUGAUGAGAGAGUUUUCAUGACUUUUUUUAUGAAGAAAAUGAUAUA